ACGUUCACCUUAUCCAUUCGAGCCCCCACCUUGCGCACUUUCCUCCGCGCCCACCCACUCCCUCUCCUUCCCACCUCCUCCUCCCACAGCCACCUUCCACGACGAGGCACACCGCCGGCAUCGGCGCAACGCCCACCUUCUCCUGCGCUCCGCGGCCCACCCCGAGCUGCAACCCCAUCCUCCCCACCUUCUUUGUUGUGAGGCGGCCCACCCACCCAAGCCGCCGCCCCACCCUCCCACCUUCUCCGGCCCGGCUCGCCGUCGGCCAGCGCGCCACCUUCCUCGGCUGGAUCCGUGGUGCCACCCCGGUGACCUGGACCUCCUUCCCCAAUUUUUCUCACUCCGCCACCGCCACCGGGUCCCGAUCAAUCCCACCAAAACCACCGGAUAUGCAUCCAGAUCCAUCCCCAUUUUACCAAAUCUGGCUCGAUCCACGGUCGUGUAGAAGACGAUUGGGCUCGCCGGAGCUACCCCACCCAAUCCACCUUCCUCGACGGAGUGCUCCACCCCAUGACGCUCUGGACGGAGGAGCGCCCACACCUGCAUCGCCCCUUCAACCUCCUCCAGCGAGCUCCUUCUCCUCUCCCAGCAGAUCAGGGAGGCACUAGUUCAACGCACCACUGGUGGUGUCCUACGACAGCCGCGCUUGCAGUGCAGUCCGGUGGCGAGCGUGCUUGCAGUGCAGUUCGACGGCGAGCCGUUUCCAAUGUAGUCCAGCGGUGUACAAGGCUAGUAGUGCAGCUCAUUCCUUUUCUUUUCACUUCAACUUAUUGUAAAAAAAAGUUGAAUUUCCUGUGCCCUUUCGAUCGUGUGUCACCUCCACCGCCAAAAGUGUGCAUGCAAUUCAGUGUGUCCUAUUGCUGCGCAUGAAGGAACACUGAGGAUGAUGGUGAGCAAGCGAUGCACUCCAGUUACAACAAAAAGAUGCCUAGAUCAAAAUCUUCACUAUUGUUCUCCGUUGACAGCGAGCAGUGCAGGUUGCUCUUCAUUGCAGGUCGGUUGGAUCAUUGGUGCAGUACCCAAAUCGCUAGUGUUUUCGAUGCUACUCGCACACAUCACCGGUGGUUCACCGGAGCACCCCCUCGCAGCUCUCUCCUUCCCCAACAUGUAGUUCACCGGCGACGACCUUUAGUUUGUUUUGGUUGCUGUCGAUGCCAUCCCCACUGUAGUACAGUGUGCAUCAUGAUGGUUUUGUGUGUAUGUGUCUUUUGCAUGGUAGCCGACUGGGGGCCUAUGUUCCUGUACAAUGUAAAAAUAGCAUGAAAAAAAGUGCACUUCUGUUGUAUCCAAGUUUCAUUUCUCCCUCAAUGUACAUUGGACAUGCAAAAAACUGUGUCCAGAUGUUCACUUUUUUCCAUAGAGAGGUUCAGUUUUAUUGUGUGGAGAGGUUCGCUCCACUAUACUAUGCACUUUUCUUUGUUUUU